UCGGUACUUAAGUACCGAAUGCAAGCGUGCGGAGAGUCACCCCAACGGCGACCCGCAUAAGUCCUGUAUGUACCCGGGCCAUUCCAACGGCAGGGUGCCGAUUACACAAUACAAGGAG
rnacentral:ncRNA from 1 species